CGAACGUAGGUAACCUGCCCAUGUGUCCGGGAUAACUGCUGGAAACGGUAGCUAAAACCGGAUAGGUAUACAGAGCGCAUGCUCAGUAUAUUAAAGCGCCCAUCAAGGCGUGAACAUGGAUGGACCUGCGGCGCAUUAGCUAGUUGGUGAGGUAACGGCCCACCAAGGCGAUGAUGCGUAGCCGGCCUGAGAGGGUAAACGGCCACAUUGGGACUGAGACACGGCCCAA
rnacentral:rRNA from 1 species